rnacentral:rRNA from 1 species
AAAGCUCCGGCGCCUAAGGAUGGGUCUGCGGCCUAUCAGGUAGUAGUGGGUGUAGCGUACCUACUAGCCUACGACGGGUACGGGUUGUGAGAGCAAGAGCCCGGAGAUGGAUUCUGAGACACGAAUCCAGGCCCUACGGGGUGCAGCAGGCGCGAAAACUUUACAAUGCUGGCAACAGCGAUAAGGGAACCUCGAGUGCCAGGUUACAAAUCUGGCUGUCGAGAUGCCUAAAAAGCAUUUCAUAGCAAGGGCCGGGCAAGACCGG